CGGUAGGCAUAACCGAACGCCCACGAUCAUCAUUGUUUGGUCGAUCCUCCUUGCAUCUAUUUUCUCCCUCUUGUGGGUCCGGAUUGACCCUUUCCUACCAAAAUCAAACGGUCCUGUGCUGGAGGAGUGUGGAUUGGAUUGCAGCUAAAGCCGAUGCCAGAAGAGUUCGUAUACCCGGGAGUGCUGUUGCUGUGUCGAUACAGGCGCAAUGGUUGUAUACAAUGCACACCAUCUGAAUUUUUCUGUUGUAGAUAGAAACACAUGGUGUGCUGCAUUUUUCGGUUGGGUGAGCUGGGUUCGAUCAUAUGGAAUGAAGAUGACCGUUGUUACUUGUCUAUUCUGUUUGUGCAAGACAGGCGUGGUUCCUUCGAUUCUUUAUUUAAUUGGAUGGAGGUGGGGGUCCGAUAAGGGUCUAAGUUUCUUCGUAAUGAGUUAUAUGUGAUUCUCGUAAUAAGGUAAGUUCGCCAUGUUUGCAGUGUUUACUCUAUAGGCUUCUAGCGAUAUACACCGAUGUAAAAGUACAAAUGGGUUGAUCGAGUUUUAAGUGUACAAUAUUGUAAGUUAUCUCCUGG
rnacentral:misc_RNA from 1 species